GUUUUCUGCAUUUGUAAACAAUCUUUAGAAAUAAUUUUUUUGCUUAUUCUUCUUGCAAAGAGUCUUGGGUUUGCUGUGGAACUUUUUUCAAGGAGGCUAAAGAGGAUCUUGGUUGGACCUCUCGUUUGUUGCAUCUUACCCCCUCCGUUGCAAAAAGUUUGGAGUUUUUGGUAUGAUUUUAAUAUUUCAAAUAGUUUGUUGUUUUAGAAUGCAAUGCAUUUUCCCCCAUUUUUUUCCUUCUAUAAUCUAUACCCUUAUUUAUUAAACUUUCUCUAUCCACUAUGUUUAUUGCAAUUCUUGCUAUAGUUACCACUAUCCUUGGAAAUACAACAUCCUAAAUAAGGGUAAUCUAGUCAAAUCGUACUAUCAAUAAUUUCUUUCUUACUCUUUGUGUGCCACAAUUUUAAACUACAAACUUUCUGAAACGGAGGAAGUAUUAUUUAAAAUGGUGAGAGGUUUUCAAUCUGUAACAGUGAUGGUUUUAUUGCUUUCUUGGGUCUGAAUAUCUUUAGGGGUUGGUUCAAGUUCAUUCCUAGCAAUGAGGGUGUGUCACUCAACCUCGCUUAAGGAGUGUUAGGGAGGGGCAGAGCAAUUUUGCUGGUUUCCUUCCCGUUCCCAACAGCGUCCUAAAAAGAUACAAGAAAGAUCGCAUGCCCCAGCUCGUUUAAUCUUCCCAGCCAACUAUGAAGGUUGCAGUUGUUGAUGACAGUUUUAUGUAUGGUAUGACCAUGCCUUCGGUUUCUCCUGCAACUUUUGUUCUGGGUAGUGCUCUGUUUGGUGGUUAUUUCACGCGAGCCAAGAAGGUGUGGUUUCUUGGCAAGUUUUUAGGUUGGAGUUUGACAGGAGUGACGAGGAGACUAUUCGAGGUCUUAAAGGAGCAGUGAUCAUCUUGAAAAUGUGAGAGGGGAGACAUGAAUCUCCUAACUUUUUUAUGUUGUACUUUGAUUGAGUAGAGAAAGAAAGAAGAGAGAAAAUAAGUAGAGAAAAAAAAAAGUGAGGAAUAUAAUAGAUUUUUAUUUUCGAUAAGAAAUAAAUAGGUUGUUUGAUAUG